GACGAACGCUGGCGGCGUGCUUAACACAUGCAAGUCGAACGGAAAGGCCCUGCUUUUGUGGGGUGCUCGAGUGGCGAACGGGUGAGUAACACGUGAGUAACCUGCCCUUGACUUUGGGAUAACUUCAGGAAACUGGGGCUAAUACCGGAUAGGAGCUCCUGCUGCAUGGUGGGGGUUGGAAAGUUUCGGCGGUUGGGGAUGGACUCGCGGCUUAUCAGCUUGUUGGUGGGGUAGUGGCUUACCAAGGCUUUGACGGGUAGCCGGCCUGAGAGGGUGACCGGCCACAUUGGGACUGAGAUACGGACCAGACUCCUACGGGCGGCAGCAGUGGGGAAUAUUGCACAAUGGGCGGAAGCCUGAUGCAGCAACGCCGCGUGCGGGAUGACGGCCUUCGGGUUGUAAACCGCUUUCGCCUGUGACGAAGAGUGAGUGACGGUAAUGGGUAAAGAAGCACCGGCUAACUACGUG
rnacentral:rRNA from 1 species